ensembl:lincRNA 2310026I22Rik RIKEN cDNA 2310026I22 gene
CGCGAGCACCGGCGCAGGGGAACCCGGAGCCACCGCCAGCCGGCAGAGACCAGGCAGGGAACCGCAGAGCUCAGGCGCCCUCCCCCUCGCUCCCGCCGCCCCACCUCCGUGCCUCCCUCCCGCCUGCCCUGCCAGCCCCCUCCCUGUGCUCUCCCUUCCAGGCUGAGGCUGCCGCAGGGCCACCUAAAGCAUUUGCCUGGGGAAGCCACUAGGACCCCCGGCGUGCAUCUUCCUCCUCGCCCUCGGCAGGAGCCCGCAGCUUAGAAGGAGACCUCUCAGUCGGAGGCGAGCACCAGGAGUGGAAAGCACCAAAGCCUGAUGACUGGGGAGGAUAGUCCUCAGGAGAUGACCCAAGCCCUGAAAUUUGGGACCAGAGGUUUACUCUUCAUCCAUUUUCAAAUUUUUGGGAGCAUUGUGUAUAAGAUAAUAUAAUCUUCAAUUGAAAAGAAAAAAGAAGAGGAAAAGGAGCUUCCUUGGGAGGUGGACUGUGGCAAUCUGGGAGGAAACUGAUUCUUCAUAACACUUGCAGCAGCCUCCCUGCCAAGGCCACUCCUGCUGUAUCAUCCACACGUCACUGAUAUUUAGAAAGUUUUUGAAAAUAUAAUCACAGUAUUUGACAUGCCUGUAAAACGCUCAGAAACAAUGCUGGUUGCUACUCCCAGCUCACAAACCAACGUGGAUCAUUGGAUGGGGAGGUGUGCACCUACCUUUCCAGCACCCAGGAGCCUGUCCGGAUCACCAAGUCUUCUGAGACCAGCUUGGUCCAUGUGAAUGCUAAGGCAAAUGCUAACUCUUCCGCUAUCAAGAGAAUGGAAUGAUUUCAUUUGUAGUAACAUGGUUGGGAGUAGGACUCAAAUUAAAAGACAUGAAUGGAGUAGGCACAGAAAGGCAGAAAGACAAGCACCAUACUGUCUUACUCAACCCUAAAGAAGACCUCCUCAGAGUGAGGAUGGGAUAGUGAUUAUCAGUGGUAAGAGGGACAGAUGGGACAGGAGGAUGGGGAAAGGUUAACUAACAGAUGCUAAAUCAUAGUUAUAUAGGAACAAGAAGUCCAUACUGCCUAGUGCAUGGUAAGAAGACUAUAUAACAAUUAUAUGCUAUAUACAUUUUAAAAGUUACAAUAGAAUAUUUUAAUGUUUGGAAUGGUAGACAGUUCUGGAGAUGUAUACAUAUAACCUGGCAAACAUCAUACUAACCUAUCACACACAUUAGUACCUCAUUAUCAUGUACAAUUUUAAUGUUCUUACUUAUCAAUUAAAGAUAAGCAAUUCAAUUAAUAAAAAUAAAAGUUAUGCCUGCUU